rnacentral:rRNA from 1 species
CACGUAGGGGACGAGCGUUGUCCGGAAUCAUUGGGCGUAAAGAGCGUGUAGGCGGCCCGGUAAGUCCGCUGUAAAAGUCAAAGGCUCAACCUUUGAAUGUCAGUGGAUACUGCCGGGCUAGAGUCCGGAAGAGGCGAGUGGAACUCCUGGUGUAGCGGUGGAAUGCGCAGAUAUCAGGAAGAACACCAACGGCGAAGGCAGCUCGCUAGGACGGUACUGACGCUGAGACGCGAAAGCGUGGGGAGCGAACAGG